CCGGACUAAAAUGCGACUCGGUCGAUCGAGGAAAGCGUGGAAGCGUGGAAAACGGAGGGAAGGACGUGUUUUAUGGCAUCGCAUACAUUUCCGCUCUGUGCCGACUUUUCAGGUGUUCCUUACGACGGAAUGGACUGUACAUAUUGACAUGAAAUGGAUACCGGAAUCCUUGGAAAGUGGCAUCAAUUGUCUCGGAAUCCAGCGACGCUAACUUGGAUCACGUAAACAAGAAAUAUACUACGUGUUUUUAAUUUUUACGUAUAAAUAGAAGGCGCUAACCCUUUCUAUCUCCUACUACUUUUAUAUACUUAUUAUUUCAUUGAUGGAUUGAUAUUUUUUGGGUCUCAUCUACAUUUUAUUUUUAUUUUACAUGGGAAUAAAUCAGUUCGAUUAAAUAACCGACUAACGCGCAAUUUGUUAUCUCAUUGAUUUCUCAUGUAAAAAUCCACGUUUCCAAUUUCAGGAAAUAAGAGUAAUUAAUUUUUGCAGAUAUUUAAAUAUUUGCGGUGUAUCCAUUGACGAAACUCUAUCGUUAGUCGCAGACGUGGUGUCGAAAAUGUUAAUAAAUGAGACACGGUGUAAAACGUCCGUGUAUUCGCGAAAAGUCUUUGAUUCUCCUUAAAUUAUCAUUAUUGCUGUGCACCGAUUAAAUACCAACGAUUUCACUGGCAUAUCAUCGACAGGAAACGCGCGCGACCUUUUGAACCGAUCAACGGGAAAAAUCGACGUCCACGAUAGGAGCAUAAAUCGCGAGUGUUUUGUGCGUCUCAUUACCGAGCCCAUUGACAAGUGGGCGAUAAACGGAGAGUACGGUGGAGAGUGUAGCAGCUGCUGCUACUCCGCGAGUUGAAGGCGAAUGACCCCUGAAGAGUGCCGUAAACUAAAAAAAUCAAUGAAUACACUACCGAGAACGUAGUUAUCAACAAUUACCGUGAAAUCAGAAACAGUAAAACGAUAGAAAUCUGUUCCGCAUGUUGUUGUUUCAAAAAUUAGAUUCGACUAAAACAAACAUGGACCAAGUUUCAUCGAUAAAUUUUGCAUAUCUAUUAUUUCCACGCGUCUGAAAGCCGCGAUGAGACAAUUUCGAAUCUGUGAAAGCGUGUUACUCUUCCCGAAGAGAGAAAUGUUAAUUUCCGGAGGUCUUCCUGUUUCUGCAAGAGGGUCGUUCGAUUACGUCGCCGCGAUUUAACGGAUUACGCAAGCACCAGUGUAGAAAGUCGAACGAUUAAGGCAAGGAAAGAGUCGCUAGCUCCGACUUCCUGCAAAUUAGUGAAUGUUUACAUCCCAGAGGCUCGAGGAAGUUCGCACGGGACUUUCUUCGAUCCGGAGAGCUAGUUUAAUUGAAUUAUUUGCCAGAAGAAGGAAGCCGAGACGACGAGAGUUAUUCCCAAAUUUCCAAUCACCGGGACCGUAAAAAAUGCAAUUAGAUGGAAAAUGUAACAGACAACCUCCAGACAGACUAUUCUUAUUCGCUCCUCCGUAUCUUCUCUGGUUGUUUGUAUUUCGCAGUAUACUUUGGCUAUUUCAAUUUUUCCUAGAAUUAAAGAUCCAUGCGCGUUAAAUCGGGAGGACGCGAGGACCACUUAACCCUACAGCGCGCGUUGAUGCGCAUAUGCAUCAACCACAUUUUUCUUUGAUAUCUUGUUACGCAACAGUUUGUUCGUAACGCGACCGAUAGAUACCGAUAGUGUUUAGCGAUAAAAGUCGGAUAGUAAGAUAAUGGGUAAGGAAACGUUUCCGUCCCAUUGGAAGUGUUCAUCAACGUAACUUCGAGACAUAAAUCGAGACAAUGAUCUACACUAAUCUACAGUGAGAUCCCUUAUAACGAGACACGAUCAAGCGCCGCACCCGUACACGGCGAAAAUUCAAAGUCGAUUUUCUCCAAAACAAUGCCUCGCACGAAAAGUUUGUAUUCUACAUUUCCGACUUAUUUCUUCAUGUAGGAGCAACUCUGUCCUCGCCGCAUCAUCAUCGUCCGUCGGCGCACCAGCACCAGAGUCCUAAAAACAACAAUAACCAUAAUCAGUACACAAACGCUGUACGUUCUUUCAGUUCGCGACACACCGUCGAAUAAUCGCGGUUAUUAUUGCGUCAAAUUUGCAUACAAAGAAAAGAAAGAACACAAGAAUGUUUUUAAAGCGCGAGGUGAUCGAAAACAAAUUACGCAAGCACAACGAUGUAGAAAUAAUAAAAUUAAGAAAGAUUCCACCGCUUGCGGACCAAACCAAAUAAAUAAAACGAUGAUAGCCAGUUCGAGCAUCGUUGGAAUACAUCGUUUCCAGUUUUUCCGUGGAGGAACGACGUGGCUGAGUGAAGCUACACGUGUACUUACACGAGUCCGGUGUAUACUCGAGUGUGCACAGUGAAAAAAAAUGCCCGAACGCCGGCAGCUUAGCACCUGUUAAGGCUGCCUUUGUUAAACGAUUUUACGCGUUGUGCUUUCAAGUGCCACUUGCCUAUCACGGUCGUUGUGCGAUACCUUCGUAUUCGUCGUUAAAACUCAAAAGCUGCCGCUCGAUGUACGAAAUGUCGGCGAAGAUCCAAGAGAGAAACGUAAAAUACAGACGAAUUAGUAAUACGAGCCGUUUUUACAAAAGUUAUUUGGUUCAAAUGAACAUGUUAUGUGGUGCAAAUAACUUUGUUGUAAGUAAUACGAUUAUAGCGAAGUCGAGUAGCACCGACUUGUUGUCUGAAUGAACAGUUUCAUACCGUCGCCAUAUAUUAGGUUGUCCCAAAAGUUUCUUUCCCUUUAUUAACACGUUGGCUGCCAAGCUAAAACUCCUUAAAAUUUCUAUAAUGUUAAAAUGUUGUCUCCGUACAAUUGAACGUCAGAUAAUUUAAUAUCUGUCGCAGUAUUUAAUUUUUUAACGUCGUUAAAUUCACGAAUCUCCUUAAAACUCCUUAAAAUUUCUAUAAUGUUAAAAUGUUGUCUCCAUACAAUUGAACGUCGGAUAAUUUAAUAUCUGUCGCAGUAUUUAAUUUUUUUAACGUCGUUAAAUUCACGAAUCCUGUCCAGAUUCAUUUUCAUCAUUGUCUCACCUUUGAAAUUAAUAUUUUUAGUUCCUUAAUGGAAAAUCCUGUCACCUAUUUCUGGCUGACGUGGCGACCAACGUGUUGAUAAGUAAUACAUGCACAAUAGUUUACGUUUUAUGUUACAUUACCGAAUUGUGCACGAUUCAUUUUGCUCCAUUACUGUUACAACAUGAAUAUCUAUGAAAUUAGAUUGUCUAUUUAUAUAAACACGACCACAUCAAAUAAUUGGGUGAAACUCGCGAAAGAAACUUUCCGGACAACCUAAUACAAUGAAUUUAAUUGAAAAGUGUAAAAGUAGUAAGAAGUUAUCAUAGACUAACUAAAGAUUAAUCCAUUGUAUUUUCCAAAAGAAAAAAGGGGCUUAAAUCUUACAUGCAAGAAUGUUUUUGAUUGUAUUGGUUGUUUAUUACGUAAACAAAUGUUCCAGAAUUUUAUCUUUAAGUACCUUGUGUAAUAUGUUGUAAUGUGAAUGUUGAAUGAAUGGUAAUUGUAAUGUAUUAUAAUGUGAAUGUUGGAUGAAUGUUAAUAUUUAAAACCACUAGGUAUGUUUAUACGUUUUAUAGUUGUCAGUUAUGUUUGUGUUAGCAAUUUAUUGAUUAUUCAUUCAUUUUGUAUUUUGUAUCGCGAUUUCAUUUUCUCUACGAUAUGUUGUCUGUUGUCUUCGAAUUUUGACAGUUUCUUACGCU